UCAGAGCCCGUUAAUGGGUGAUGGCGUGCCUUUUGUAGAAUGAACCGGCGAGUUACGAUCUGAUGCAAGGUUAAGCAGAAAAUGUGGAGCCGUAGCGAAAGCGAGUCUGAAUAGGGCGAAUGAGUAUUUGGUCGUAGACCCGAAACCAGGUGAUCUACCCUUGGUCAGGUUGAAGUUCAGGUAACACUGAAUGGAGGACCGAACCGACUUACGUUGAAAAGUGAGCGGAUGAACUGAGGGUAGCGGAGAAAUUCCAAUCGAACUUGGAGAUAGCUGGUUCUCUCCGAAAUAGCUUUAGGGCUAGCCUCAAGUGAUGAUUAUUGGAGGUAGAGCACUGUUUGGACGAGGGGCCCCUCUCGGGUUACCGAAUUCAGACAAACUCCGAAUGCCAAAUAAUUUAACUUGGGAGUCAGAAUGUGGGUGAUAAGGUCCAUAUUCGAAAGGGAAACAGCCCAGACCACCAGCUAAGGUCCCAAAAUAUAUGUUAAGUGGAAAAGGAUGUGGCGUUGCCCAGACAACUAGGAUGUUGGCUUAGAAGCAGCCAUCAUUUAAAGAGUGCGUAAUAGCUCACUAGUCGAGUGACACUGCGCCGAAAAUGUACCGGGGCUAAACAUAU
rnacentral:rRNA from 1 species